rnacentral:rRNA from 1 species
AGUGAACGCUGGCGGUAGGCCUAACACAUGCCAGUCGAACGGCAGCACAGUAAGAGCUUGCUCUUACGGGUGGCGAGUGGCGGACGGGUGAGGAAUACAUCGGCAUCUACUUUUUCGUGGGGGAUAACGUAGGGAAACUUACGCUAAUACCGCAUACGACCUACGGGUGAAAGCAGGGGAUCUUCGGACCUUUCGCGAUUGAAUGAGCCGAUGUCGGAUUAGCUAGUUGGCGGGGUAAAGGCCCACCAAGGCGACGAUCCGUAGCUGGUCUGAGAGGAUGAUCAGCCACACUGGAACUGAGACACGGUCCAGACUCCUACGGGAGGCAGCAGUGGGGAAUAUUGGACAAUGGGCGCAAGCCUGAUCCAGCCAUACCGCGUGGGUGAAGAAGGCCUUCGGGUUGUAAAGCCCUUUUGUUGGGAAAGAAAAGCAGCAGGUUAAUACCCCGCUGUUCUGACGGUACCCAAAGAAUAAGCACCGGCUAACUUCGUG